rnacentral:rRNA from 1 species
GAUCAUUAUUGAAUUAAAGUUGAGGGUUGUGCUGGCUUCUAGGAGCAUGUGCACGCUUUCUUCCUUAUUUUACCACCUGUGCACCUUUUGUAGACCUGGAUAACUCUCAAGCUUCACGGCUUGGUCAGAGAAAUGUCGUCUCGAUGACUUUUCUUACACUUCCAGGUUUAUGUUUUUAUACACUCAUCAGUAUGUCAUAGAAUGUCUAUUAAAUGGCUUUUAGCCUUUAAAUUUAUACAACUUUCAACAACGGAUCUCUUGGCUCUCGCAUCGAUGAAGAACGCAGCGAAAUGCGAUAAGUAAUGUGAAUUGCAGAAUUCAGUGAAUCAUCGAAUCUUUGAACGCACCUUGCGCUCCUUGGUAUUCCGAGGAGCAUGCCUGUUUGAGUGUCAUUAAAUUCUCAACCUCUGAAUCUUUUAUUAGAUGCUUAGGCUUGGACUUGGGGGCUGAGGGCUUCGAAAGAGGUCGUCUCUCCUUAAAUGCAUUAGCGGAACCCUUGCGGAACGUCCUUUGGUGUGAUAAUUAUCUACGCCGUGAGGAGGGGAGGCAAACUUUAUGGGGGUCAGCUUCUAACCGUCUCUUUAUUGAGACAAUCUUUGACAUUU